AUAAUACUCCAUAGAUUAGAGACACUGGAAUGUUCUUUAGUCGAAAGUUCUGGCGCCUAAGGAUGGAUCUGCGGUCGAUUAGGUUGUUGUUGGGGUAACGGCCCAACAAGCCUGUAAUCGAUACGGUUUGUGGGAGCAAGAGCCCGGAGAUGGAAUCUGAGACACGAUUCCAGGCCCUACGGGGCGCAGCAGGCGCGAAAACUUUACAAUGCAGGAAACUGUGAUAAGGGAACUCCGAGUGCCCGUAUACGCGGGCUGUCCAGGUGUUUAAAAAUCAUCUGAAGAAAGGGCCGGGCAAGACCGGUGCCAGCCGCCGCGGUAAUACCGGCGGCUCGAGUGGUGGCCACUAUUAUUGGGCUUAAAGCGUCCGUAGCUGGACCGAUAAGUCUCUUGGGAAAUCCGCCGGCUCAACCGGCGGGCGUCUAAGGGAUACUGUUAGUCUAGGGACCGGGAGAGGUGAGAGGUACUCCGGGGGUAGGAGUGAAAUCCUGUAAUCCCCGGGGGACCACCGAUGGCGAAGGCAUCUCACCAGAACGGCUCCGACAGUGAGGGACGAAAGCUGGGGGAGCGAACCGGAUUAGAUACCCGGGUAGUCCCAGCCGUAAACUAUGCGCGUUAGGUGU
rnacentral:rRNA from 1 species